GACGAACGCUGGCGGCGUGCUUAACACAUGCAAGUCGAACGAGGAGCGAUGGAAGCUUGCUUCUAUCAAUCUUAGUGGCGAACGGGUGAGUAACGCGUAAUCAACCUGCCCUUCAGAGGGGGACAACAGUUGGAAACGACUGCUAAUACCGCAUACGAUCUAACCUCGGCAUCGAGGAUAGAUGAAAGGUGGCCUCUACAUGUAAGCUAUCACUGAAGGAGGGGAUUGCGUCUGAUUAGCUAGUUGGAGGGGUAACGGCCCACCAAGGCGAUGAUCAGUAGCCGGUCUGAGAGGAUGAACGGCCACAUUGGGACUGAGACACGGCCCAGACUCCUACGGGAGGCAGCAGUGGGGAAUCUUCCGCAAUGGACGAAAGUCUGACGGAGCAACGCCGCGUGAGUGAUGACGGCCUUCGGGUUGUAAAGCUCUGUUAAUCGGGACGAAAGGCCUUCUUGCGAAUAGUUAGAAGGAUUGACGGUACCGGAAUAGAAAGCCACGGCUAACUACGUG
rnacentral:rRNA from 1 species